rnacentral:misc_RNA from 1 species
GAUGAAGAACGUAGCGAAAUGCGAUAAGUAAUGUGAAUUGCAGAAUUCAGUGAAUCAUCGAAUCUUUGAACGCACAUUGCGCCCCUUGGUAUUCCGAGGGGCAUGCCUGUUCGAGCGUCAUUAUAACCCCUCAAGCUCAGCUUGGUGUUGGGGCCUGCUGCACUGGCAGCCCUUAAAAUCAGUGGCGGCGCCAUCUGGCUCUAAGCGUAGUAAUUCUUCUCGCUAUGGAGUCCUGGUGGAUGCUUGCCAUCAACCCCCAAUUUUCUAUGGUUGACCUCGGAUCAGGUAGGGAUACCCGCUGAACUUAAGCAUAUCAAUAAGCGGAGGA